CGAUGGCUGCAUUCAUCAUGCUUGCUUGGGAGACAAACACUGAACAGAUGAUCUAAUGAGUGGCUUGACAAUGACAGUGGAAUACUUUGGAAACGUGGAAACAGAAACCCCAAAGGUCAACUAAUAGUGAUUGUGAAAGCCACUUCGAUCAAAACACACUGUUGAGUUUUAUGAGGAUGGCAGCCUACAUGAAUUGAUUUUCAUACUGUCAAACUCAAACUACAACAUCCUUAUUGGCUCUCCUAAUGUUCCUAGGCCCUGCAGUUCCACAAAAAUGUCCGUGUAAAAGGGCCCCAAGAUUAACUGAAACCUGACAUUCCUGGGAAUAGUUACGCCACUUUAUAGGUCCCCAAAGUUGGAGGCGGAGUGAAAAUUCUGGCAAACAGCAAACAAGUUUAUACCACAAAGAAGAAUAUACUUUCUCCUACCUGUCUAACUUUGGAAAAAGAUGAAUCUUUCAGCAGGUGACUCACAGACCCAGUUUCUGUAGGCUGGACUUUGACAAGGGGCUUAAACUUUCUGCACAAAUGAAACCAA